GGGUUAGAGACAGCUUUCUGGCCAAGAGCAGGCCAAAUGUCACCGCUGGGUUUAUGUGUCCUCCUGCCCAAACCCAUCAACAAAUUAUUGAUAAUAUCAACACAGAUUCAAAUCAAGAUGUUGCAGAAAACUCUCUCUAGAAAAUUGUGUGGAGGCUUAUGAGGAAAGAGCUGAGAAAGUAGACAGGGAAAAAAUGCGGUGCAGAGAGCCAUAUUAUGAAAACAUAGGGAGGAAUCUCAGUAAGUUUGUUUGGUUGCUAAGAAAUGUAGGGAAAGAAUGGGAGUAAGAAUUUAACAAAAUUGAACGUUAAUUAGGCCACGAAAAUACUCAAAUAUUCUCAUUCUUUUAUUUUCCUCCUCUUUUUCAUCAACCAAACAAGGACUUUCAAAAUUUCAGAAAACCCCGUCAAAAUCUUCCAUAAUAUCAUGGAAAAAAAAAAGAAGGAAUGCCAGAUACCCAUUUUCAAUCUGAACAUAUCUACCCACAAGAGCUGAUGAAAACGACAAAAGAAAUCACGGAUCAAAGCUUCUGAGCAUAUCAAACCACCAUGGAAAAAACAAGAACAAAACAAAGGAAAAGCACGACUCAACAGAUCAAACAAAAGAACAUAUAUAGAGAGACAGAGAACAGACCUGAGAUACCAGCAGUGCAGUAGACAAGGGCAAAGAUCAUACCCCCAAAAGCCCAAGCAAUACCCUGAAUACCAACAGUGGCACACUUGCUGGGGGACCUGACAACACCCAUAACAGUCAAGACAGUGAUGUAGAGGAAGAGGAAGGUGGCCAUGAACUCGGCAAUCCCAGCUCUCCAAAACGACCAUGAAUGAAGCUCACCAGGCUCAAACAGUGGAGCUGGUGGAGGCUCCCUAUAGUCCUUGUCUGUCUGUGCUGAUGUCCCUAUCGGUUGCCUCUCUGUAAACUUGUUGGCCCCCAACCUCACAUCCUCUUCCUUCCCCUCCAUUUUUCUCCCUCAAAUUCUCCCUCUACAGAUCUGAAAACACUGAGAGUUCAGAGCUUA
rnacentral:lncRNA from 1 species